rnacentral:rRNA from 1 species
CCUACGGGUGGCAGCAGUGAGGAAUAUUGGUCAAUGGACGAGAGUCUGAACCAGCCAAGUAGCGUGAAGGAUGACUGCCCUAUGGGUUGUAAACUUCUUUUAUAUGGGAAUAAAAUGUUCCACGUGUGGGUUUUUGUAUGUACCAUAUGAAUAAGGAUCGGCUAACUCCGUGCCAGCAGCCGCGGUAAUACGGAGGAUCCGAGCGUUAUCCGGAUUUAUUGGGUUUAAAGGGUGCGUAGGUGGAUUGUUAAGUCAGUUGUGAAAGUUUGAGGCUCAACCGUAAAAUUGCAGUUGAAACUGGCAGUCUUGAGUAUAGUAGAGGUGGGCGGAAUGCGUGGUGUAGCGGUGAAAUGCUUAGAUAUCACGAAGAACUCCGAUUGCGAAGGCAGUUCACUGGACUGCAACUGACACUGAGGCUCGAAAGUGUGGGUAGCAAACAGGAUUAGAUACCCUUGUAGUC